rnacentral:lncRNA from 1 species
AUUCACCUCCUGCUGACUCGGGAAGCUGUUCCACCAUCCAUCACGCAAGGUAAGAAAGGCGAAUGGCAGCACCUGGCUGGAAAAGGAGUGAGGGGAAGUAUGGGUGGCUGAUUGUGACGGAAACACAAGGCUGUACAGCACUGGCCAUGUUCCUUGAGUCAAAAUGAUCCAGGUGGCUUUCAAAAAUCUUAGUACAUGAGAAAUACCCCAUGGCCCACUCUCUUAUUUCCCCUUUCACCAUGGAAACUCGCCAAGCUGAGUUUCUUGACUGGGCUACCUGCACGACCAAACCAAACAGGCACCUAAUCUCUAAUCUUACUGCUGGGCUCUGUCUCAGACCAGAUGAGCAGAGUUCAGGCUGGAUAUCCCACAGGAGGAAGGCUGAAUACCCCUCUCCUCACCAAAGUUGGUUAAGGUCUGGGUGAGUUAUGUCUCAUGUUCCUGUUGUGAAAUGGAAUGAACAAACAGGGGAUGUGAUUCAUGUCUGUAGACACGUAGUAUUCCUGAGAGCUAAUCAGGAAAUGCCAUUUCAUGUCUGGUCUUAUAAAGCCUCUUCAAAAAUUUGAUAGAGGCUAAAGGGGAGCAAUCAUUUUAAAGUGAGCUCUUGUUAUCUCUUCAACCACCUACGCCACACGCCCACCACUAAGUUCUGAGAAAACUUUACACCCCCCUCUUCUUCCUCUGCCCUAGUCCCUCUCCCCAACCCGUACCGCCAACACACACACCUGCAUACACAUGCACAUGCAAAUUGUUUGAAAGAAACAUCAUAUGGCCAGGUACGGCGGCUCACGCCUGCAAUCUCAGGACUUUGGAUGGCUGAGGCGGAAGGAUCUCUUGAACCGGCCAUAGUGGCUCAUACCUGUGGUCCCAGCCACUCAGGAGGCUGAAGUGGGAGGAUAGCUUGAGCCUGGGAAUUCCAGGCUGGGUGAGCCGAGAUCGCGCCAUUGGCCUCCAGAUCAAGUGACAGAGCCAGACCCCGUCUCAAAAAAAAAAAAAAGAAAGGAAACAUCAUACAACAUGAGGCAUACUUUACACUGAAGUAAGUUGUUGUUUUCAAGGCAAAAUGAGUUUCCCUUAAUUUAUAGGAAAUAAAAAGAAAUAUUUAAAAGACUAGUAAGAACAAAUAAAUCCAGUUCUCAGCUGGUGAUCGAUAAAUAAGAAAAAGAAAGACAGAUAAGGAGAAGAUUCACCUAUAAAUUAAGUGCAUUUAACAACUUAAAUUAUUACUUCCCCCAAAGGAAAUGAAAAUGGACCCUCUGAUCAGAGAGAUAAAGUAUGUUUUAUUUUAGUUUUUUAAUUAAUUUUGCAGGGAGACACCUAAAUUUACCAAAAAAGGGAGCUAAUAUCAGGGAAAUACAAGAUCUUAAUGGAAAGAUUAUGGAAUUCACAAGUUACUGGUGGCAACAGUUUGGACACAAUUAGACAUCUUAACGAUAAUGAAAGUAUAUAGUUUAAUGAAUCUAUGUCAAGGGAAGCCUUGAGUAUAAAACCUUUACAGGGUCCGACGAGAUGAGGACUUUUGCUCAAUGAGUAAAUAGUGUUUGACCAGUUGAUUAGUAAGGAUGUGUUUUUGAAUUCCUCGAGAUUUAACAAGAUGACAAAUCGGACUUGUUUAGAUUUCUUUUUCGGGCUAGCAAGAACACUUUGACACACUAAGUAGGAGGAGUCCCCUCAACCCUCUGUGAGACUCCUAAGCCCACUAACCCUGAAGUCACACACAGCUCAAGACACACAGAGGGGGCCUCUAAGCUGAGAGACGUUUAUUCAAAGACUUCUCUGAUCUAUCAGAACUGGUGAUCUAGGAGCUUUUUGUAAAGCUAGGUAUUCUUCCUCUCCAGAAAACAAAAGCAAAAACAAAACACUUUGCUUCUCUAUCAGAGGGAUCCUUUUCAUUUCUUUUCGGGGAAGUCUUCUUUCACGUUUAAAUGAGCUCAAUUUAUAGAUGACUCUUCUCCCUGUCUGUUCUCCUUGUCCCCUUUAUCAAGCAUGGUGAAAACUGUGGAGUCAUCCUUGUCUCAUCUGCUCUGACUAAUUUGUUUACCAUAUCUGGCCAGUUCUUCUUUUGAAGGGUGGCUGCAAUUUUCUCUUUCUUAUCUCAGUUGUUGUUGCUUUGCAUUAGCAUGUUUUCAUAGCCUCUCCUCCUCUCAGUCCCUUCCCUUCCUCCUGAAAUCUAAACCUUUCUGACACUCUUUCAUCUGGCACUGCCCCCUCACAACUGUUAUGAGUUCCUUUUUCUCCCACAUUGAGUCUGAAUUCCUCUCUAUGGCUUUCAAAGACUUUCUUAUUCUUCCUCAACCCUCUUCAUUAUCUGCUACUCCCUAGUGCUCCCUUCUCUAGUGAGGUCAAUAUUCUCUUCCACUUACUGGGCUUGUUUCUCUUCUUCCUUCUCUUUACCCAUCAAUUGCCCUGUCCAUUGGCUUAUUUUUUUUUUUUUUUUUGAGAAAGGGUCUUGCUCUGUCACCCAGGGCAGAGUGCAGUGGUGUGAUCUUGAACUCCUGGGAUCAAGCAAUUCUCCUGCCUCAGCCUCAGCCUUCCAAGUAGCUAGAGUUAUAGACGCAUGGCACCAUGCCCAGCUAAUUGUUUUUAUUUAUUUAUUUAUUUAUUUAUUUUUGAGAUAGGAUCUCACUUUGUUGCCCAGGCUGGGUUGAACUCCUGGGCUCAAGUGGUCCUCCCUCCUUCACUUCCCAAAGCGUUGGGAUUAUAGCCUUGAGCCACCGCGCUGGGGCCGGCAUUUCUCACUUCUGUCUGCAGAGCAUGUCUCCUCAUCAGAGACCAACUUCUUACAAAGUCCCACUCAAUGACUGAGAUUCUUCCCUUUCUCUAAGCUCCCACAGCAUGUAAAGUUUGUGGCACCUGGCUUGAUACAGGUCUGGAUCAUUUUCAAACCGCUCUAUUUGUGUGAAUCUUGUCUCCCACAAAAAUGAUACACUUUUCAAACAAAAAGUCCAUUUUCUCUGCUUACAUGCAUUUUGUGUCUAU